rnacentral:rRNA from 1 species
GAUGAACGCUGGCGGCGUGCCUAAUACAUGCAAGUCGAGCGAACGGACGAGAAGCUUGCUUCUCUGAUGUUAGCGGCGGACGGGUGAGUAACACGUGGAUAACCUACCUAUAAGACUGGGAUAACUUCGGGAAACCGGAGCUAAUACCGGAUAAUAUUUUGAACCGCAUGGUUCAAAAGUGAAAGACGGUCUUGCUGUCACUUAUAGAUGGAUCAGCGCUGCAUUAGCUAGUUGGUAAGGUAACGGCUUACCAAGGCAACGACGCAUAGCCGACCUGAGAGGGUGAUCGGCCACACUGGAACUGAGACACGGUCCAGACUCCUACGGGAGGCAGCAGUAGGGAAUCUUCCGCAAUGGGCGAAAGCCUGACGGAGCAACGCCGCGUGAGUGAUGAAGGUCUUCGGAUCGUAAAACUCUGUUAUUAGGGAAGAACAUAUGUGUAAGUAACUGUGCACAUCUUGACGGUACCUAAUCAGAAAGCCACGGCUAACUACGUG